rnacentral:lncRNA from 1 species
UGGGAAAGAAAAACAUUAUUGAACAUAUUGGACUGAGCCCAACACACACUAAAACAAAUUAGUACAGAGAAAAGGGCAAAGGGGGAAAGCGUAAAAGCAGAGUUAGAGAGAGACAGGCGUGGAGGAUGCAUGGGUGAAGAGGAGAGGUCUUCUCUGUGGUGGGAAGAUGAUUUUUCUUAGUGCUUCUUUCUUCUGUAUCUCAUAUCCUAUAUAUAGAGAGGGAAAGACAGUGAACAGUGUGUGUUGGUAUGAUUAUGAACCCAGGGUUUUCUCCUCAUGCAAAUGUUUUCAAAUUCACUGUCGAAUGCGCAUCCAAAGGGAACAAUGAGAGUGGCAUUGGGGUUGUCUUGAGAAACAUUAAUGGUGAUUUUACAAAUUGUUUUUGCAAAAGAUAUAAUUAGCUGUUUUUGCAAAAGACUUUAGGCAUGCUUGGUUUCAACAAUUCAUCAUGCAUUAGAAUUCUGCCAACACUUUAAAAUCUCAAAUGCAGUAGUAAUUGAAAACCACUUUUCCCUUGCGGUGGACUGGGUCAAUAUAUAAUAGGAAAAUUUGACAUUGGAAACUUCUAAAUAAGUUUAGUUCAAUUGAUUACUUGAGCGAUAGGGCCACAAUUUCACCGUUGCAAAUUUGUGCCUUUUCCAAAUUGUUGCUUGUCUACUGAACAUUAACUAAUGUUAUGUGAGAUUUGUUUUGAAUCUUUUGAUUUGUCAAUUUAAGUAGGGG